rnacentral:misc_RNA from 1 species
AACGCACGAGACCUGCGGACCUGCGGAAGGAUCAUUAACAAAGUAUUCUGGACCGCGUCAGCGGGACAGGUGGGAGCGAAGGGCCUUGGCCCUGAGUCUGAGGACUGAGAGCCUUGCCUGAGGGUCUUGCCCUUCCUCUCAUCACAAGAGGGCGCCUGCGAGGGCGUUCACCCAGCGGGUAGGUGGGUUGUGACAGUUGUGAGUUUGUUUUGUGACAUUCACACGUUUGUCACGUCUCAU